GUCAGUGUUGUCGGGGUAAAGAGAGGCGAAGUAUUAAGCGAAGAACAAGAAGUCAAUGUUGGUAGAGGAAUGUCAGGUGGAUCCAUAACUAAAAUAAUCAUUGUGUUAUUGCUGUCAUUCAUUUUGCCAUUGCUGUAAACUUUGUUUUUUGAGAAAAGCAGAAAGGAAGAAUAGAAUCGACAUCAAGUAACGAAAACAGUAGGCCUAGAGCUAGAAUGUUUCAUCACUAUAUUCUAUGUUUUUACAGUAAUUUGUUUUUAGAAAUAUGUAUUGGAAGUUCCAACCAUCCAGUUACUCUCAUAAUAGGCUUACUUUCUUAGCUAUUUCCAUUAAGACAGCUUUUUUUAUGAUAUUGUUUAAGUCACAAUGAAUAAUAGAUGAUUACAAGUUACUAUUAUGUGAUUACUAAUAUAGUUGGAAAAUACCUCAAAAAAUAAAUUCAUCUUUCAAUGAAAUCCAGAACAAAACCAAUAGGGUUUUUUUUUUCUGAGUGUUGCAUAUCUUGUAGGUGUAAAUCUAAAUAGAAAUUCAUAUAAGGGUUCCUUAUUCCUACCCGGUAACCCGGUGCAAUUCUCGUCGUCCACAACGGGGGCCGUUUGUACCAGUACACCGGGGUAUCCCCCUACCCGUCUCGAAUGAUGUACUGGGUUCUUUAUAGUGUACACGAGCCGAAGUGCACACUGGUAAUUAGUCGAAAUUUUUUUUGGCAGCACCAUGGAAUAUAUUAUUGAAAAUGUAAGUCAAUACCUAGAAUAAUUUAAAUUAUUUAGAUACUAAUUUUAAACGAACUACACAAAAUGCUUGAUACUAAAUGUACCGGCAUGUAAAUCAUUCAAAACCUACUUCAACUAUUACAUUAAAUACACCAAACUUUGUAGUGUGAUGAAGUUAUUAUCAUUUAUACCAAAAUCACCGUCAUUUUUUUUACUUUUCGAAUGGUACAUGCUACCUGCCCGUCGUCCAAUUUCCGACCAUUUUCAGAGGGUUGUUUGUUUUUAAAAGUUGCCAUUUCGGUUAUUUACCAAUCAAAACUCGUGUUGUCCCCUCUGGAAUAAGAAUGAUGAAUACAAUAAUUUCAUAGCUUCUUGAAUCGUAAAAGGUUUAUUCUGAUUGGAUAAAAAACAAUUCCACUGACACGGACAUUAUUAUUAUUAACAAUUUCCCAUCUUAUAAUUAAUUCUAUAUAGCCCGAGUGAGUUGCAUUUAGACCUAGGCUACUAUGGCUGACGACAUGUAUGCUUUCUCAAUUUAAGGUUUUUCUAUGAUCUGAUGGAAGCAUGAACUCCUGCAGACCAAAGUCAGUACUGUUCAAAUUUGAUGUGAAUCGUACGGCGAAUUUACUCACGAUUGUAAUAUUAGAUAUCUUUCAUCUUACCAUCCAUAUUGCAGGUUUUAUAACACCCAUUUUAUUUUCUCUCUGAUGAUAGUUCAUUCCCAUACAUUUAAUCACCUACACUUUAUUGAGGCUCAUUGGUUGCUUUCUGUAACUCUUUUGGUAAUUGUAAAGAUGUUGAUAAUGAUCUAAUUAAAGGUCUCGAAAUAUUGAAUCCUAAUGACGCAUCUUCAUUAUUUUAUUUUAAGUUUGUUUUAUACUAAGUUAAACUGUUCCAUAAUAACGGACGUUUGUAUGAAUAACAACAGCACAAAUGCCAAUGACAGGGCGCAUAAACAUGUCAAUAUAGCAUCACUGCUAGAGUAUAUUUGAUGUUAUAUCCAACAAAAAAAUAAAUACAUGCACUCUCAAAAAACUUUUCAACAUGGCAUUUAUUUGGAUAAAUACGGUGAAAGUCUAAAGCUUUUAUUGCAUAGCAAUUAUUUGGAUAAAUACGGUGAAAGUCUAAAACUUUUUUUUACAAGACAUUAUAUGUUUGUCAACAACACUGUGUUAUAAGGAUACCAUACUUCCAUGGUGAUGGUAAUCAAUUCUGAAAGUUUUGAUAGCCAUACUGAUAUAAAUGUCCUGGAUCCCCCCCUGACAAACAUACUAUUAUUAAACUGUAAAUCACACAUUAUAGAAAUGUUUUAAUGGUAAAUAUUUCUAACAAAUAAAUCUAAAAUACAUACACAUCUGAAUUUAAGAGACCUAAAAUCUUGCAAUUAUUUUUAAGCUUAAAUAAUCAAUGCAGUUAGUCCUUAUACCCUUU